rnacentral:rRNA from 1 species
GUUAAGCGACUAAGCGUACACGGUGGAUGCCCUGGCAGUCAGAGGCGAUGAAGGACGUGCUAAUCUGCGAUAAGCGUCGGUGAGGUGAUAUGAACCGUUAUAACCGGCGAUUUCCGAAUGGGGAAACCCAGUGUGUUUCGACACACUAUCAUUAACUGAAUCCAUAGGUUAAUGAGGCGAACCGGGGGAACUGAAACAUCUAAGUACCCCGAGGAAAAGAAAUCAACCGAGAUUCCCCCAGUAGCGGCGAGCGAACGGGGAGGAGCCCAGAGCCUGAAUCAGUGUGUGUGUUAGUGGAAGCGUCUGGAAAGGCGCGCGAUACAGGGUGACAGCCCCGUACACAAAAAUGCACAUAUUGUGAGCUCGAUGAGUAGGGCGGGACACGUGGUAUCCUGUCUGAAUAUGGGGGGACCAUCCUCCAAGGCUAAAUACUCCUGACUGACCGAUAGUGAACCAGUACCGUGAGGGAAAGGCGAAAAGAACCCCGGCGAGGGGAGUGAAAAAGAACCUGAAACCGUGUACGUACAAGCAGUGGGAGCCUCUUAAUGGGGUGACUGCGUACCUUUUGUAUAAUGGGUCAGCGACUUAUAUUCUGUAGCAAGGUUAACCGAAUAGGGGAGCCGAAGGGAAACCGAGUCUUAACUGGGCGUUAAGUUGCAGGGUAUAGACCCGAAACCCGGUGAUCUAGCCAUGGGCAGGUUGAAGGUUGGGUAACACUAACUGGAGGACCGAACCGACUAAUGUUGAAAAAUUAGCGGAUGACUUGUGGCUGGGGGUGAAAGGCCAAUCAAACCGGGAGAUAGCUGGUUCUCCCCGAAAGCUAUUUAGGUAGCGCCUCGUGAAUUCAUCUCCGGGGGUAGAGCACUGUUUCGGCAAGGGGGUCAUCCCGACUUACCAACCCGAUGCAAACUGCGAAUACCGGAGAAUGUUAUCACGGGAGACACACGGCGGGUGCUAACGUCCGUCGUGAAGAGGGAAACAACCCAGACCGCCAGCUAAGGUCCCAAAGUCAUGGUUAAGUGGGAAACGAUGUGGGAAGGCCCAGACAGCCAGGAUGUUGGCUUAGAAGCAGCCAUCAUUUAAAGAAAGCGUAAUAGCUCACUGGUCGAGUCGGCCUGCGCGGAAGAUGUAACGGGGCUAAACCAUGCACCGAAGCUGCGGCAGCGACACUAUGUGUUGUUGGGUAGGGGAGCGUUCUGUAAGCCUGUGAAGGUGUGCUGUGAGGCAUGCUGGAGGUAUCAGAAGUGCGAAUGCUGACAUAAGUAACGAUAAAGCGGGUGAAAAGCCCGCUCGCCGGAAGACCAAGGGUUCCUGUCCAACGUUAAUCGGGGCAGGGUGAGUCGACCCCUAAGGCGAGGCCGAAAGGCGUAGUCGAUGGGAAACAGGUUAAUAUUCCUGUACUUGGUGUUACUGCGAAGGGGGGACGGAGAAGGCUAUGUUGGCCGGGCGACGGUUGUCCCGGUUUAAGCGUGUAGGCUGGUUUUCCAGGCAAAUCCGGAAAACCAAGGCUGAGGCGUGAUGACGAGGCACUACGGUGCUGAAGCGACAAAUGCCCUGCUUCCAGGAAAAGCCUCUAAGCAUCAGGUAACAUCAAAUCGUACCCCAAACCGACACAGGUGGUCAGGUAGAGAAUACCAAGGCGCUUGAGAGAACUCGGGUGAAGGAACUAGGCAAAAUGGUGCCGUAACUUCGGGAGAAGGCACGCUGAUAUGUAGGUGAAGCGACUUGCUCGUGGAGCUGAAAUCAGUCGAAGAUACCAGCUGGCUGCAACUGUUUAUUAAAAACACAGCACUGUGCAAACACGAAAGUGGACGUAUACGGUGUGACGCCUGCCCGGUGCCGGAAGGUUAAUUGAUGGGGUUAGCGGUAACGCGAAGCUCUUGAUCGAAGCCCCGGUAAACGGCGGCCGUAACUAUAACGGUCCUAAGGUAGCGAAAUUCCUUGUCGGGUAAGUUCCGACCUGCACGAAUGGCGUAAUGAUGGCCAGGCUGUCUCCACCCGAGACUCAGUGAAAUUGAACUCGCUGUGAAGAUGCAGUGUACCCGCGGCAAGACGGAAAGACCCCGUGAACCUUUACUAUAGCUUGACACUGAACAUUGAGCCUUGAUGUGUAGGAUAGGUGGGAGGCUUUGAAGUGUGGACGCCAGUCUGCAUGGAGCCGACCUUGAAAUACCACCCUUUAAUGUUUGAUGUUCUAACGUUGGCCCGUAAUC